UUGAGAGUAGAUAAAAAAGGUUGUGAAUACUACCGGUUUCCUCUUAUUUAGGGUAUAAUUUGUUAAUUGAGGAUUAAUUGGAAGGAUAUCUUCUAAUGAAGAUUCCUCAUCACAUAUAUAAAGUCUUAGAGAAGUCCCAUGGAUUUUCCCGUCCAAUCGAGGCAACGAUUGAGAGUCCAACUCUCAUUUCUUCAUCUUGGACACAAUUGAUUUUUCAGGAGGAGAAUGAAGUGGCAUGGACUCGUUUAUUUUGAGUAAUGAUUCCUGGACUGAUUCAGAGUCUUCUUCUUCAGAUGUGGAUUCCCUUAUAUUUAGGGAGUUGGACUCCCUAACAAACCUGCAUAUAGAUUAUUUCUUCGUUUUUGUAGUAAUCGUCCGUCCAUUAUCUUUCAAAUCAAUAGGGAUGGUACUGACUUUAAAAUUCUGCAUGGGCCCUCUGCUCAAAGUAAUAGCAGUUAAGUUCAAACGACAACCAAAGGGGAUGUGUUUUGGUUCAGAAGGGAUUUAUAUGAGAAACUAUGUGCAGGGCCUCAUCUAACUGAGGUGAAUUUAAUGGGAAUCGUUGGAGGACGUGAUCCUGAAAUCAUUGUGAAGAGCUCUCAUGCAAAGUUUUUUGAUCAACUCGCACCUAAGCGCAUCAGUUUGAAUGAUGAUACUCUUUUACACUAAACACUAUUGUUGAUGGAAUGACAGUUUACCCAUCAAUUGUUCACAUUCAUAGUAUGGAUUCGUUGUCAGAAUUAAAUGGAAUCUAAUUGAGCCUUGGUCUUUGCUAUCAGCUAAAGCUAGUGAGCGGGUCUUUAAAACCAUGAUAAAUCAUGAUGGAUCUCUACCAGAAAGAAUUUACAAACCUUUAUAUUUGAAAGCUCAUGGAGGAAAUAAGUUAUCAUUUAACGCAAUCAUAUUUGGACCAUCACCCUCUGGAGACGACAAGACUCCACUUAUUGUUAUUCCUCAUGGAGGUCCCCAUUGCGCUACUACAAGUUCUUCCUAUUCUCUAGAGCUAAAUUUUUUUAUUGAACUGGGAUUCUCUGUACUUUUGGUUAACAACAUAGGAUCUCUCGGUUAUGUGGAUGAGUCUGUACAUGGAUUGUUGGGGGGCGUGGGUAAGGAUGAUAUUGAUGACUGCAUACAAGCUCUUCCAGAAUGUCUUAAAAUUAAUCCUCACUUAAACGAUAAAGACAUUUUUCUUUGGGGUGCUUCUCAUGGUGGGUUUUUAGUUACUCAUCUUGCCGAUCAGUACCCAGAGCUUUUCACUGCAAUUGUGGUUUUGAAUCCAGUCACCAAUAUAGCAAGUAUGGCCUCUGCAACUGAUAUUCCAGAUUGGUGUUUUAAUUAGAGGGGAUUCCCCUUUCACUACAAUACUCCCUUGACCCCUGAUAUAGCCAAAAUAAUUUGAGAGAAAUCCCCCAUAAGUCAUAUCAAAAAUGUUAAGGGCCAUAUUCAUUUGUUGAUUGGAAAGGAGGACUUGAGAGUCCUUCCAUCUCUAGGAUUUGAAUAUUACUAAGCACUUAAAGGACUAAAUAAAGAAGUUACAAUUUCCCGGAUAAUCCUAGCCUUGGAAAGCCUCUUAUUUAUGCUAAUUGGAUGAUUAAGAUCAUUCUUUCUCCAGAGGCUAAAAUCUAAAUUAUAUAUUUAUUUUAUUUUCAUAAAAAAAUAUGUCAGUUUUGAAUUAGUUAAUAAAAUAUUUUGAUAAAUUUUUUCGAGUGUAUCAUAAAUUAAUUGUUUGUUAUUGUUGUUAUCCAUCCCAUUAACGUCUCAUAAUGUCAGAGUCUUCGUCUUUGGACGUAAUGAACAAAAUAUCAAAAGAUGGUGAAAGUUUUUUGGAUAUUGUUCACAGCCGUAUAUGUGAAAUAUUCAGUAUGAUUCAAAGUGAUGAUUUUGAGUUUGAGGAAUCUAACCAGAAUGUUGUAUCAGAAUUGAAAUCAAGACCUCCUACCAAAAUAAGAAAGAUGAUGAAUAUUACCCCCGGUGUCUCAUCAGAUUUUACCUUUUCGGACUCAUCAAUUUGUGAAUGUAGCUCCAGAGCAGACUCGAAACUAGAAAAACUGGGAAGAUUGGUGCAUGAUAAAAUCUGUAACCUACUUGACGACAUUGGAGCUAUAAGACGAUACGCAUUCGUUAAAAAAUCGACCCGUGAAUUCACCAAUGAACAGAUUAUCAUAGAUGCAAUUCAAAAUCUUAUACUGAUGGAAAAACUCUUAUUCAAGAAAUUGGAGAAAUUGCCGGGGAUCCGUACGGAGAGAAUGAAAAUUAUUUCAAAGGCACAUGAGCCAUUGAAUGAUCAUUUAUCGGCCUUGAUACUCUUUGACCUAAGAACAUUAACAGUGCUUAAAUCAAUGGCAAGUAAACUGAUUGAGCUUUACCUUGAACUAGCAGAUUUGACGCAAGGUAUCAAGGAAGAAAAAGAAUUUGCCAAUAACUUUUUCAAAAACCUUUAUACAUAGAAUAGUUAUUAUCGAAACAUAAAAUGAAUAUAUUAUAUUUUUACAUAAAUUAUUAUAAUAACAUAUUUUAAAUGUGAAGAGAUGAUAAGUGUUUUAAUCUUUUGAUCAUUGCUUCCAAAAAUCCAACAUAGCUCUGUUUCUUAGAAUACAAUUGUUCCACAUGUUUUAGUUUCAUAAGCAAUGAACCACUAAAUACAGACACGGCCACCUUCAAUUCGGCAAUUCCCUCAGAGAAUACAUACGCAGGCGAAACAACUCAAGAAGAGUCUCCUACCAUGAAUGGUUCAUCUAUAAAUAAAUGAUAUUAGCCUUCUGAUAGGGAGUAUCUUGAUUUUUAAUGGCGUAUAACAAAAAAUUUCUAAAUGCCUCCAAAUGAGAAGAGAAGCUCCCUCAAUGGCAAUCCCAGCUAAAGUAAUUUCGUACUUUGUUUUGUGUAGACGCUUUGAUUUUUCGACUGGCCAAAAGACGUUUGUCCAUGAAUUUCCCAAUCGACUCUUUUGAUCCUAAUAAGAUAGCUAUCUCUGCGGUUGUUAAAUGUUGGAUCGAGGAUAACUUGUCCUGUAAAUCUGUUAGUGAAGAGUGGGGCGCAAUGAGAUGGUUGGACAAAGAUUGCAGUACAGUGACAAUGUGCCAUAAACUUGGAGGACGACUCGGAAUAUAAGUAUUGAGAUACUCUGUAAAUUAGUAAGAAAAACACAUUGUUGGGAAAGUUGAUUUAAAAAGUACUUGAAUAUAAAUUAAAACUCACCGUGCACAUCA
rnacentral:misc_RNA from 1 species